rnacentral:rRNA from 1 species
GACGAACGCUGGCGGCGUGCCUAAUACAUGCAAGUAGGACGCAGUUGCGAACGGGUGAGUAACGCGUAGGUAACUACCUAUUAGAGGGGGAUAACUAUUGGAAACGAUAGCUAAUACCGCAUACUAGUAGUUGGACCUGCGUUGUAUUAGAUAGUAGGUUGGGUAAUGGCCUACCUAGGCAACGAUACAUUGCCGACCGUGUAGGGUGAUCGGCCAAACUGGGACUGAGCAACGUGCCAGAAGCCUGCGGGAGGCAGCAGUAGGGAAUCUUGGGCAAUGGGGGGAACCCUGACCGAGCAACGCCGCGGGAGUUAAGAAGGUUGUCGGAUCGGAAAGCUCUGGUGUUAAGGAAGCGGUACUUAACCAGAAAGGGACGGCUAACUACGUGCCAGCAGCCGCGGUAAUUC